GAUCCAUGGUCAUCAGUAUGCUAGGGAUAUAGGAAAUGCCACCUAAAUUCAAAGCCCUGCUUAUCCUCACCAGAAGCAAGGAAGCACACAGUGGAUUAAACAGAUUUUCUUGCUGUAUCUAUGUAGAAGGAGCAUCAGUAAAGUUAUGAAAUAAACCCUGGCAAUAAUUUUCCAUGCAACCGCUUUUCCUGCUGCCACAGGACAGCUCCAUGAAAUAGACCCCUGGAAGUUCUAGGCCAGGCCAACUGCUGCCACCCAGACGCAAAAGCAGAGAUCCCUGGGUGCACUAGCUAGCUUGUCCUGCUGUAUAUUUUUAUCAUCAUCCUGUACACAGAAGCUUCUCUUUUCUCUGUCAUCAAAGCUCCCUUUUCAGGUAAUUGUGCCCUGAAGGCAGAUUGUCUUUCCUCUCUGCCCAGGCUCCAAAAGGUAGCAGAUAUAAUGUGUAUAUGGGUCACACAGACUGAACCUUGCAUCACUUAAAUCUUCACGCUCUCA